GUUACACUACGACGUUGGUGACUGCCCACAAGUUUUUUGAUCUAUGUCUUUAAGAAACUGGGAGCCAAAUAGUUCUUGUGGCAGUAUACCGGGCUUGUACCCGGAAACUUUAAACGAGCAACAUCCGUUCCCACCUGGUAUAACCAGGUCAUAAACUUAGGCAAAACGGCGUCGCGGUGAACUC
rnacentral:other from 3 species